CCCCCCCCCCCCCCUCCCUCUCUCUCUACUUUCUAGUGUAUUUAUUCUUAAGUUUGACGAGCGUGUUAAGGAAAUGACUAGAGAGUUCAAAUGAUUAAAGACAAUUACUGACCACAGUUGGGACUUGAACACAGACUUAACACAAUGGCAUGAUCAGUUGGGACUUGAACACAAAGUUAGUUGUUAGUUUAAUUUGACUGUAAAUCAGACAUUUGGCUCUCUCCCACAGAAAACUUGUCACAUACACACUUUUUAGCUUGGUCCCACACAGUCACAGCCCACA